UGUUACGCGCUGAGCCAGGAGCCUGACCUGGCUCCCCUCUGGGGCACUUGGCAACUCACUUAAUUACCUUGCGCCAUUUCCUCAUCAGCAAAAAGGAUAAUAUAGUAUCUGUCCACUUCUCAGGGCCACAGUGGAAAGCAGGAGAGUGAAAGUGAAGAGAACCACCUGAUUUAGGAAAGGAGACCUGGCUGUGGGGGAUCACUGAUCGGUACCAAAAUAGUAACACAUGACAUCACCGCAGGGCGGGUACCGUCGCCAAACCCCGUUCUGCCGUAAGUGCAUCGAUUCUAGUCCCAGCAAUCGCCCCUAGGAGAUAGAGCCUAUUACUAUGCCUCUUCUCAGAUGCGAGCCACCCAGGCACAGAGAGCUCGAAAAGCAGCCCGAGACACUGGUGGGGCCAAACCCAGAAGGCCCAGCUGCAGAACCUACAUUCUCACCCGGCCGGCAGAUGUACCUUGGGUGGGCUGGGGCCGCCGUGGGCUCCCUUGCCUACUUUCCUCUGAAAUGACUCAAAAUGCUUAGCCACUGUAGUGAUGUUUCCUAGUUUUUUGUUUGUUUGUUUACAAAAUGUGAAUGAUUUUCCACCCCUGCGUUUACCAUCCUCAGUCUCCACACCCCAGAGCCGCCCCCUCCCAUCUCUCCAGGCAAGCGGGGGGAGCAACCAGACACGCCGGCCACUCCGUCACUGCCCAGCUGACCCACAGCCAUUCGGGCACUGGCUCACUCCCGUGGCGAACAGACAAAACGCAAGAAGGCGCAGCCCCCGAAGUAAAUAUGACUCCACUGCACACCUGGACAGGUCGCGCGUCCCUCACGUUAAUUCUCAACAGGACUGCAAACAACUGAGAUCGCUACAAAAUUUAACCUUUUCAUCGGCUCCAGAACCGAAUGAUCAAACACUUGGCCCCCUUCUCCAAUUCACCAAACCAGCCAGAGUGCCCCGUGCGGGUCUGUGCUUCGCGCAAGUUCUCUCUCUGGCAGAUCCUUACCCAUUCCUUCCUUUCGAGCAUCCUCCAACUCCAGGAAGUUAACUGCUCCCCGGAAACAUGGCAGCCUGGUUGCUGAUGAGUAGACAGUGACAUCAGGAAGGAAGCCUCCACGCCGUGGGGAGGACCCUGCCUCUGAAUCUUAGCUCGGCCGUGUGCGUUCCUCGUGGAGGCUGUAGAUCGUGGGGAUCUACCUCCUGCGGCGGUUGCGGGAGCGAGGGGAGAUCCAGAAAAUGCCUCCAGGGGAACAGAGGCUCUCCUCUACGGUGUCCAGUUGCCGUGAUGGAGUUUAAAAUGUAGACACAUUUCACUUUAAAAAGAAGUGGGGGUGGGGCCGGUUGGGGUUUCGUACAGACGCGCAGACUUCCUCUGUGCUCAUCAGCCGCGCUGCUGUGGCCAAAGGGAGGAGUCGUGCCUGCCGUCGACGGUCCUGGACCCCGCCCCGAGCAGCCGGAGGGAACACAGGACUCUACCUGAUAAGACAGGAGAACACCUAGCCAGAAGGCACGUGAGGUUCAAAGAGCUUCCGGAGGAUUCCAGCACUACAGCACGGAGGCAGAAACCAGCAGCUGGAGGGUGGAGAUGCAUCCGAGAGAGGUGAGAUGCCCAACAGCUUCAGGAUCCUGGGGAGAAAGUUCUGAGCGGUCUGACUUGAUCAUGAGCUCGCCCUCUAGGUAGGGCUGGAGCACGUGAGAAAUAUCCCACCGGAACUGGAGGAGUAGGGUUGGGACCUGAAGGAGGAGUGCUGGCGCUGCAACAAGCCAGCG